GAUGAACGCUGGCGGCGUGCCUAAUACAUGCAAGUCGAGCGAACAGACGAGGAGCUUGCUCCUCUGACGUUAGCGGCGGACGGGUGAGUAACACGUGGAUAACCUACCUAUAAGACUGGGAUAACUUCGGGAAACCGGAGCUAAUACCGGAUAAUAUAUUGAACCGCAUGGUUCAAUAGUGAAAGACGGUUUUGCUGUCACUUAUAGAUGGACCCGCGCCGCAUUAGCUAGUUGGUAAGGUAACGGCUUACCAAGGCAACGAUGCGUAGCCGACCUGAGAGGGGGAUAGGCACAACUGGAACUGAGACACGGUCCAAACCCCAACGGGAGGCAGCAGUAGGGAAUCUUCCGAAAGGGGGGAAAGCUUGACGGAGCAACGCGGGGUGGGUGAUGAAGGUCUUCGGAUCGUAAAACCCUGUUAUUAGGGAAGAACAAAUGUGUAAGUAACUAUGCACGUCUUGACGGUACCUAAGCAGAAAGCCACGGCUAACUACGU
rnacentral:rRNA from 1 species